CGCGGGCUCGGGAGUAUGAACACUGUUCUGGGUCUGUACAAUUCAUAGCAAUCAAAGGUUAAAUAGAAUAUUUCGGAUUUUCUCUAUACAUCUUUUUUUUUAUUUUCAAAAAAAUAUAUAUAUUCGUAUUUGCGCUCAUCUUACGCUCGUUGAGUCUCUGGAAAACAAAUCCCACCGACUUGGCCUUCUCGAAGAUUUUCGUGGUUGCCCCCCUCCCGGAAAUAAUUCGAGAUAACAUCUCACUAACUUUGCAUCCGGUAACAUUGUACCUUUCCCCCCCGAAACACCAAAAUAACACGAAAUGAUUUAGAACGUCGACAAAUAAUCCAUUCGACGUCGGUUGACAUCAAUGCAUUAAAAUAACCAUGUAUUAGCCACAUGACAGUCAGGGCAGAUUGUAAUCCGGGUAAAACGCGUAUGUUUCGCCCCGUGAAUCCCCCCUAGUUAUCGAUUCCUGCACCUCAAAAACGCUGCUAUUCACAGAACUGUGUGUUACUCAUCCCUGAACAUUCCGAAGACGGAACUAGCUCACAGCAGACGAAAAACUGAUGAUACAGGAAUGUGGGGGAGAAAACAAGAAAAACGAAUAGAAUAACCCAAAUCUAUGUUCGUCACAGGACAAAUUUAAAUCUGGCACGUUUUAAAUGUGUUAAAACCGCUGUUAUGCCAAGUAUCAGGCCAUGCGCCAUUAUUUUCAUUUCUCUGCUGUAACCACGAAUUGCGGACAGGCAAGUGGAACUUUACUAUAGCGAGAAAUUAAACUCGUCUUGUGGCUGAUUUCUGUGUCAGCUGACAUGACGACUGUGCGAACCCUUCGGUUCAGGCUACACAAAACAUUUCAGGUGCUUCAUCCCUAGCUCAGAAGUGAGCCAUGACUUUGUCUUUGCAGUGGUGAUGUCAAACUUGUGUUUCCCUUACAGUCCUAUUUCCUGGCAACGUAUCUUAAAAUUCAUAAGUUUAACAACAAAUACGACGUACGUAUUAUCGUACCAAGACGCACACGAGAGCUGUUCAAUGAAGACUGAAAAUUUUAUUUUUUGUCCAAGUCUUGGGGAACUUUCAUUUGGGGUGAUUGGUAGCACUGAUAGAUGUGAAUCAGCGCCUGAAGUUUCAGGUCGCUGCGUGUUCAGUUGUGCUCGUGCCGUGACCUUGACUACAAGCUACGCGUGUCUCGUCUCCGCGCUUACAUUUUCUCACCGCUUUAAUAAGUGAAACAUACAAUUUGUCAAAAGUGGCUUGUGGGCUAAGAUGAGGUUCAAAGAUGGUCGGGAAUCCUUCGAAAAGCGGCAAGGUCGACGAAGUACCAUCGCAGAGUUGUCUGAUAUGCUCAAAAUAUCUGUAGGGAGUGUACAAACUGUCACAAAGGAUAAUUGGAUCAUGUCUCGUAUCUGUGCUAGAAGGAUUCGUCGUCGACUAUCUGGCAACAAGCAAAAUACCCUAACUUAAAAACUAAGGACACGCAAACUCAUGUUUCCACGAACUUGUAACAACAGAACAUCCAAGCGCUUGGUUGAAAUCUCCAAAGUCCCAAACCGGAAUAUACAACGAAGCCAAAUCGCCUCUCUCUCCUCGCAGGCAAGUCGCUAGGGAAGACAACUAAUGUCAACGUGCAGAUCCAAGUUUCUAAUUUCGACCUCCUACGUGUGCAAUUUUUAAAUUAUGUUGUAUUCGUACAAAUACUCGAUAAAAUCGUGACCUUUUGUAUUAUUCAGAUGCAUCUUUAAAAAAACUCCCGUGCGUAUUCAGCUCACACCAAGCGAAAAGAAAUGUAAGAAUGUAACUGUUUUCUAGCAGCUGUUUUUAAGGGGCUUGUAAUUUCGAUGAACAUCAAAAUAGUUGAUUUAUAUAACGGGAACUCGGAGAGGGGAUGGAAAGAUUUAAAAAUGAAAAUCCACGACCUCCAAAGUCAUUACAACGUCGCCCGACUAGAAAUCAAACACCAAUCGUCCGCCUGAUCUAUCGAUUACAACGUUAAGUGCACCUACUUUUUAUAAGACUUAUAAACCAGAACUUAAAGAAAGUGGAAAAAAAAUAAUAUCCUGUCGUACAAAGAAACAGGAGAGAGUCGACAUCUGGGGUUCACUGCCAAACUGCAAAACCUGAGCCACAUGGGAGGAGUCAGUCGGGGUCAUCCUCCAAGGAGCACGUAACUUGCCGCUGCAUUUCAAACGUAAAAGAGAGGAUCUCCCGGAACCAACCGUGCGGAUGUGCAUCUGGAAUAAUAACAUGGAACCCACAACGGGUGUCCCAAAAACAUGUAUACACAACGCUGACGAAUAUAAUUGAUGUGGCUAAUACACA